rnacentral:lncRNA from 1 species
GUUGCAAGCCCAAUUAAGUUCAGCCCAGUCCAAAGGAAGCCCAGUCCAGUGCAAGAACAAAUCUCAGUUGGGCUGAGAUUUGUUGGGCCAAGGGCAAGGCCCAGUCCAAGUCCGCCGAUAUUGUCGAAAGUUCGAUUUCGGCCGCCGUCGCGUCGCCGUCGCGGUGUUCCGAUACCCGCUUUUGAUCAAGUGAGUUUUACUCACUAAAGCUUUAUUAGUUUGCUAAUUAUGUCUUAGGGUUGGUUAGAUUUAAUUACAUGCACUUAGGUGGUUAGAUUAGGUUAGAACAAUUAAAUUAGUGACUUGAGGAUGCAUGUUAGGUGGUUAGACCUAGCUAUUAGCAAGUAGAAAUGUUUGGUUAUUUAUUGAAUGUAUCUCGGGAUUUUUCCCGACCCGUUUCGGGCUCCAAUAAGGCAAUAUGGGCCUAAAUUGGAUUUUUGAUGUUUAUUUAUUUAUUUUCGAAAUUUAUUUAUUUAAUUAAUUAUUUUUCCGGAAAUUCAACCGGGACGGCCGGUGACCGGAAUUUCGUGCCGAUUGUCGUGGUGCAGUCCGUUUAUUUAAUUGAGCUCUACGUUGUGUGGAAUUGAAUUUAUUGUGGAAUUUUAGGAAUUGUCCUAAAUUGUUUGUUAUUGAGUAUUUGAUUGGUAAUGGCUAAGCAUGGAUAUAUAGCGCCAGUACGUUGAUGGGCUAUAUAGUAGGGAGAAUGGUGAGACCAAUCAGGUACGAUAUUAUUGGACAAACGUGGUUCGGUGAUUGGAAGUAUCACUGGCGAAAACGGCGCCUUAAAGAACGCACGUAAAUGACUUAUAGACAAACGUGGUUCGGUGGUUAUGGGAAUAUCACUGGUGAAAACGGCGCCUUAAAGAACGCACGUUGUUGUCUAUAGCCGAUGUCACCUUGGCGAAAACGGUGCCCUUGAAAGGACACGUGGUUCGGUGAUCAAGGUUAUCACUGGUGAAAACGGCGCCUUAAAGAACGCACGGUGUCGGUGAUCGGUAUGUCAUUGGCGAAAACGAUGCCCGAGAAACACAUGUGAUUUGGUGAAUGAGUACACCACUGAGAAAGCGUGGUAUGAGUGGGAAUGACCUAGAAAGGGUCUGGCUGACAUGUAAUCGACUUAGUCGAUUGAUCAAUGCUUGAUCGGAUGUCGUGAAUUGUUUGAAUACUUGUGUUUAACCUUGAAUUGCAGGUUGGAACUGAGGCCAAGGUAAGUCCUCUAAUUCGUGUUGUGCUUAGGCAACCGUAUGGUGUAUUAGUUUAUUAAUCGAGUCUUAGUGGGUAGGACUCGCUGAGACGUGGUCUCAUUGGUUAUUGAAUAACCAUUUCAGGACCCUGAGGAGAAGCUAAGGAAGAGGAACCUGAAGGGGAGAAAGACUUUUGAAGAAGAAGAAGAUCCAGAGAGGGAUCUUGAAUAUAAC